rnacentral:rRNA from 1 species
AUACGGGAGGCAGCAGUGGGGAAUAUUGCACAAUGGGGGAAACCCUGAUGCAGCGACGCCGCGUGAGUGAGGAAGUAUUUCGGUAUGUAAAGCUCUAUCAGCAGGGAAGAAAAUGACGGUACCUGACUAAGAAGCCCCGGCUAACUACGUGCCAGCAGCCGCGGUAAUACGUGGGGGGCAAGCGUUAUCCGGAUUUACUGGGUGUAAAGGGAGCGUAGGUGGUUGGAUAAGUCAGAUGUGAAAGCCCGGGGCUCAACCCCGGGACUGCAUUUGAAACUAUCCGACUAGAGUGCAGGAGAGGUAAGUGGAAUUCCUAGUGUAGCGGUGAAAUGCGUAGAUAUUAGGAGGAACACCAGUGGCGAAGGCGGCUUACUGGACUGUAACUGACACUGAGGCUCGAAAGCGUGGGGAGCGAACAGGAUUAGAUACCCGAGUAU